GGGAUUCUCGUUCCAACUCGAAGUGUUCGGCUAGUGUUGGUCCACGUUGGUGCCUAACAAGAGUGAGCGUACUGAAUUCCUUAGUGCUCUGCAAAUGAACUUGGGGAGUUCUUCUUCUAUCGAACAAAUUACUUCCUUGUCCCAAAAGGAUCUUAUUUUUUCUCCCUUGACUGGGUGAGAAGCGAAUCGAAGGAUCAAUCAUUCAUCCUGUCGUUUUGAAGAGAGGGAAAAUCUCACGUAUGCAAAUUUGUGUGGGUAGAGAGGGAAAAAGAGAGCAAGAGAGAGGGAGCUCACAUAGCAGGUCGUUGAUAAAUCAAGUUUUCUUGCCGACUUUGGCUUCAUUCGGAGUGGUGUGAACGUGAAUCUGUACUAUAUCUGUGAGUUGGAAGAUCCCCAAAUUGUUGGAGAACUCCAGACGACUGUGUGCCAUUUUUCUCUUCGAUCGAGGCAGAACCUGGGAACGAAGACGGAGCAAGAAGACUCCUUCUCCUUCAAGGUUAUUCCACUGAUAUAUGAUACCACCACUGCCAUCGAGGCUCCAGACUCAGCUCAGGCUUCUCAUCAUCCGAGUUUAAUGAUUUGGUGACAAUCUUAGAUCUCGGGUGGAAUGCGGUGAAAUGACUUCAAUUAUCUUGGAGUCGGUGAAGGACCAAGUGUUGGUGGCUAGUGUCUCCCAGUGAACAGUUGCCAUCCUCACACCACUAACUACUUUCAUUUCGGCGAAAACAAGACAAAAGAGGUGUCGUUCCCGAGCACAUUAGUUGUUACUUUCGACUGCUAAUCGUGUAGCUCAUAUCACUCUGGACGACUUCAAGAGUCUUGUAAUAGUGAAGGGAACAAGCUAUUCCCGAAGUUUUCUCUUGGAACAAUAACAUUGUCAGUAACAGCUGAGCACUCAGUUCCCAUUCUUGGUUCUCUUGAUUUCCCGCCUUGUUCACUUCGAUUCUUGAGGAAGUCAUCUCGCGCUUCAUUAAAUAGCCAUAUUGGAUCACUGUCAGUCAUUUACGGGGAUCUGAAAAAGGUGUACCCCACAGGCGGUCCCAACAAACGUCGACAAUGGUUGAGACCUCAUACGGCAAGGCUCUCAUAGGGCUUCAUCCAAAAUUGUCGCUCAUUUUUCAGCUCCUUGUCAUCUUGGCUCUUUGCUCUGAUGCCUCUCAAAAGGUGUCCACGUCCUUGGGGCCCAAAGGUCAGAACCUGUCACGUGACGUCACGGUCAAGGCACGUGAGGGUGCGCCCGACACGCCUGAUGCUUACUUUGAAAGCUCACCCCCACAGAAUGUGUCGGCUCUCAUGGGCAAGACAGCCUUCUUAACGUGCGUGGUUCGAAACUUGGGCAAGGCCAAAUCCGUGACUUGGAUCCGGCAUCGAGACGUGCACAUCUUAACCGUGGGCGAGUACACGUAUACCACGGAUGAACGCUUUGUCGCUCGCCACAAUCGCGACACGGACGAGUGGGUCCUGGUCAUCAAAUAUGUUCAAGAUCGAGAUGCCGGGACAUAUGCUUGUCAGAUCCCGUCCUCACCACCUCGAUCUUACCCGGUCAAUUUGAACAUAAUCGUUCCACACGUGAGGAUCCAGGGCAGUCCAGAUAUCCACGUCAAUCAAGGCAGUGUGAUCAAUCUCACUUGCAUAAUAUCAUACAGUCCGGAGGCGCCUGCAUUCAUCUUCUGGUAUCAUGGAGAUCAGGUUGUGCCUUACGAUUCAGAAAGUGGGCGAUUCUCGGUGAACACGGAAAAAUUGGGCCGAGAAACGAGAAGUCAUCUGGUCAUUUACGACGCGAGUCCCAAUCGAGAUUCGGGGAACUACACGUGUAAACCAUCCAUUGCCAAGGCAGCGAGUAUCAAAGUCCACGUCUUGGAAAGUGAGUUCCCGGGCGCAUUACAAGAAUCCAGCUCGACAUCACUGAAGCAUUGUGGGUCUGCUGUCGCUCUUUGUCUUUUCAUCCUCCUGGCAAGCCUCUUUAUGGAAACCAAAAGAGAUUUUGCCGCAACUAGAUCGAUGUAGAAGAGCUUAGGGAAUGUCUUGGCUUCGAGAGGAUCAUGUGAAGAAAACGGUAAAUCCAGAUAAUCCGGCUCAAACUUGGACAGGGCUGAGAUACUAGCAAAAGGCAAAGUGAAGCUCUAGCUCUCCUUUCAUCAUCCGCAGAUAAAGGAACUGCUCUGAAGUCAAUGGGUUUUUCAAAUGCUCCAACCACCCAGACAAUCAUCCUCGAGCCCAUCGAUCCUGCUUCCGUGAUCCCAAAAACUGAUAAUUCUUCUUCACCAACUAGACCAACGAAUCAGUGCCAACAUGCAAAGUUUGAUUAAUGAGCCUCUGUCUGCCUCAGACACUUCAUAUUUGGGCUAGGGUCUCAAGAACGCGAACGCAUCUUUCGCUCUCUAUCUCUCUCUCGUCUCGAAUGUUCUCCUCAUAACCACACUGAUGGUCUUGAUGAUGAUGAGCGUCAUCAUCAUCAUCGUCAUCAUCAUCAUCGACCGAGCUACUUCCAAGGUGAUUGGAUUCCUCAAGAUCUCUCCAGAGAUCCGAUCCCGUUAUCGAAUGAUGCCCGAGAAGGCCACGAUAACGUCCUCCAUUCUCUUUCUUUUGGUGUACUCGUAGGACAACCAAGCAGCUCCUAAACGUUUUUCGGGGUCUGAUAUGUCAGACAAUGUUGACUAUUGAGAAUCAAUAGCCCGCUCUAAAUACAUGCAAUUAAAUAUAUAUAUAUAUAUAUAUAUAUAUUCAUAAAAAUGUUGCGCAUUCCCAGUAAUGGACCCUAACGGUCUUCAAUGGCUCUUCAAACUACUCAAUCUCCUCAUUAUGUUCAACCAAGUAGGUGAUAAGCCCCUUUUUAGAGCCACGAGGGGUCAAAAUCGCUCAGUAUACAUUCAACUAUAAUGUGUUGAUAUCUAGUAUUUAGUUACACUCCAUGAACCGCAAUUCUCUAUAUUUCUGUUAGCGAAAAUGACUUCCAUUGGGAUGUCAUUGACAUUUUGUACCAAUAUUCUGUUAAAAAAUGUGCGUGAGACUAUUCUUGAAUGUGUUAUGCUCUUUAUUGCAUGAGAAUUGCUGAACCGCGAUGCGUGAAAGUUAUAAUUGCACAAAAAAUGCUCUAUGUUCGACCGCAAUGAAAAAGGAAAUAAAUUUACAAGUAAACUGA